CCAGUAAUGCCAGAGUCUCAGCCGAAGACGUUUGCCGAUGCUCACAGGUAUCGAUGGAAUUGCUCUGUAAGAUGAAUGGACGACUGGAGCCUCCCUACAGAUCUGUGUCCAGUUCAAGUUGGCAAAUUCAGUUCUUCGGUGAAGUCAUGUGGAAUGUAACAAUGCUUCUAAGGACUGAGUGAACUGAUAGAACUGCAGUGAAAACCACACUGGCUGACGUGGAAGAAAAGAUGUGUUUUAAUUAGAAAAUAGGGGCCACUAGUGGUAUUCAUACAUGGGUAUGUUGUUCCACCCCGUGUGAAAGAAGCGGGAAAACAGUUUUUGGUCAGCUGAUGUUAAUCAGCCCCCUUGUUACAACAUAAGGGUGAAGAUGUGGAGAUAAAAACCGCAGGGAUUCAUGGAGGUUUGGAUUCCCAGAUCAUCAUCAAAAACAACCUGGGAACAAGAAAACAGAAUCAACUUCCGAGGCUCAGCUGAGUCGUCCAGUUCAGUGCCAAAGUGAUCGUGCGGGGGUCAACGCCGUUAUCGUGUACGAUGACCAGACAUAUCGGAUGUUCCCUAUCCCACCGGCUGGUGUGGUUGAAGCAGCAGCGCCCAGGUAAACAGGGACAUUUCA